UUCUUUUUCCACCGGAGCUUGCUCCACCGGAAAAAGAAGAGCGGCGAACGGGUGAGUAACACGUGGGUAACCUGCCCAUCAGAAGGGGAUAACACUUGGAAACAGGUGCUAAUACCGUAUAACAAUCGAAACCGCAUGGUUUUGAUUUGAAAGGCGCUUUCGGGUGUCGCUGAUGGAUGGACCCGCGGUGCAUUAGCUAGUUGGUGAGGUAACGGCUCACCAAGGCCACGAUGCAUAGCCGACCUGAGAGGGUGAUCGGCCACAUUGGGACUGAGACACGGCCCAAACUCCUACGGGAGGCAGCAGUAGGGAAUCUUCGGCAAUGGACGAAAGUCUGACCGAGCAACGCCGCGUGAGUGAAGAAGGUUUUCGGAUCGUAAAACUCUGUUGUUAGAGAAGAACAAGGAUGAGAGUAACUGUUCAUCCCUUGACGGUAUCUAACCAGAAAGCCACGGCUAACUACGUGCCAGCAGCCGCGGUAAUACGUAGGUGGCAAGCGUUGUCCGGAUUUAUUGGGCGUAAAGCGAGCGCAGGCGGUUUCUUAAGUCUGAUGUGAAAGCCCCCGGCUCAACCGGGGAGGGUCAUUGGAAACUGGGAGACUUGAGUGCAGAAGAGGAGAGUGGAAUUCCAUGUGUAGCGGUGAAAUGCGUAGAUAUAUGGAGGAACACCAGUGGCGAAGGCGGCUCUCUGGUCUGUAACUGACGCUGAGGCUCGAAAGCGUGGGGAGCAAACAGGAUUAGAUACCCUGGUAGUCCACGCCGUAAACGAUGAGUGCUAAGUGUUGGAGGGUUUCCGCCCUUCAGUGCUGCAGCUAACGCAUUAAGCACUCCGCCUGGGGAGUACGACCGCAAGGUUGAAACUCAAAGGAAUUGACGGGGGCCCGCACAAGCGGUGGAGCAUGUGGUUUAAUUCGAAGCAACGCGAAGAACCUUACCAGGUCUUGACAUCCUUUGACCACUCUAGAGAUAGAGCUUCCCCUUCGGGGGCAAAGUGACAGGUGGUGCAUGGUUGUCGUCAGCUCGUGUCGUGAGAUGUUGGGUUAAGUCCCGCAACGAGCGCAACCCUUAUUGUUAGUUGCCAUCAUUUAGUUGGGCACUCUAGCAAGACUGCCGGUGACAAACCGGAGGAAGGUGGGGAUGACGUCAAAUCAUCAUGCCCCUUAUGACCUGGGCUACACACGUGCUACAAUGGGAAGUACAACGAGUCGCGAAGUCGCGAGGCUAAGCUAAUCUCUUAAAGCUUCUCUCAGUUCGGAUUGUAGGCUGCAACUCGCCUACAUGAAGCCGGAAUCGCUAGUAAUCGCGGAUCAGCACGCCGCGGUGAAUACGUUCCCGGGCCUUGUACACACCGCCCGUCACACCACGAGAGUUUGUAACACCCGAAGUCGGUGAGGUAACCUUUU
rnacentral:rRNA from 1 species